rnacentral:rRNA from 1 species
GUACACUCCUGCGGGAGGCAGCAGUGGGGAAUAUUGGACAAUGGGCGCAAGCCUGAUCCAGCCAUGCCGCGUGAGUGAUGAAGGCCCUAGGGUUGUAAAGCUCUUUCACCGGUGAAGAUAAUGACGGUAACCGAAGAAGAAGCCCCGGCUAACUUCGUGCCAGCAGCCGCGGUAAUACGAAGGGGGCUAGCGUUGUUCGGAUUUACUGGGCGUAAAGCGCACGUAGGCGGACUAUUAAGUCAGGGGUGAAAUCCCGGGGCUCAACCCCGGAACUGCCUUUGAUACUGGUAGUCUUGAGUUCGAGAGAGGUGAGUGGAAUUCCGAGUGUAGAGGUGAAAUUCGUAGAUAUUCGGAGGAACACCAGUGGCGAAGGCGGCUCACUGGCUCGAUACUGACGCUGAGGUGCGAAAGCGUGGGGAGCAAACAGGAUUAGAAACCCCGGUAGUCCCAUGA